CGGGGUGAGUAACGCGUGGAGAACCUGCCGUAUACUGGGGGAUAACACUUAGAAAUAGGUGCUAAUACCGCAUAAGCGCACAGCUUCGCAUGAAGCAGUGUGAAAAACUCCGGUGGUAUACGAUGGAUCCGCGUCUGAUUGGCUUGUUGGCGGGGUAAAGGCCCACCAAGGCGACGAUCAGUAGCCGGCCUGAGAGGGUGAACGGCCACAUUGGGACUGAGACACGGCCCAAACUCCUACGGAAGGCAGCAG
rnacentral:rRNA from 1 species